GGCCCGGCCCCCGCCCUGCUGUCCGGCCUGCUCUUGGCGCGUCCCCAGGGACCGGACCCGCGCCGCGCUCCAGGCCCAGCGGGGAGGAGGAGGGCUCGCUGCCAGCUGAGGCUGACCUCCGGGAUGCGAGCGGCCGGGAGAACGGGCGACGUGCCACCUGCCUUGGCCUCGCCGCUCCUCCCUCUCUCCCUCCCCGAGUCCCCUUCCCCGUGCCCCUCGGCCGCCGACCUGAACCGAAAGGGGCUUCCUGUGCUUUUGCAUACUCUUGUGCCCCUUUUCCUCAUUUCCUCAUCACUAACAGGCGGGGAAACUGAGGUUCCCCAGGCGAAGCGACUGACUUGCCCAGAACCACACUACUGGGGUGGGGGCAGCAAAUAGGCGCCUAAGAUGAAGUUUAGAGAAAAAUGAACAACUCUGCCGAUAGAAAAGUCGUCCCUACCAAGACCGACUCGAGCGAGUUGGGGCGGAGAGGUUCAGGGCAAUGCUUUCCUGUUUCCCAGACUUUUCUUUAAGGUGGCUUUAAAAUAUCUACAUUUGCCAUGAAAGUGUGAGCAAGCAAACUCCCACCGGGAAAUAAUGCUAUUCCUAGUCUUGUGGCCCCCGGAAGACUUGGAGCCAAGGGAGGCAGGUCAGGGGGCUGAAAUCCCGGUGAGGGGUCGCAAGGCCCCGCAGUGGAUUCCAGGGUUUGGCGUUUGGAGGGGUGAGGGGCGACCCGCAGCGCGACUCGACGGCGCCCCCCAGGGGCCGCCCGACACGUUUCUGUCACCUUGGCUCCAGACUGAGCUUCUCCAUCCCUUUCUUUAUUAUACAAAUAGGCAGUAUACACAGUGAGCGCCCACUAAGCGCUGGGCUGGGGGCCUCCAACCCGGAACAGAAGCCGGCCACAACCCUCGCUCCCUGUCGUCGCGGCCGUUAUAGGCCGAAAGCAAAAUCCAAUCCCGGGCCAUUGUGGGCGGAUUGCCAGGACCUGGAUCGCAACACUUGGGAAGACCCCCGCCCCGCCCAGCGAUCUCCGUGCCCUGAGUCCCAGUGACGGCCCCCUGGACAGCGGAGCCUGCUGCAGCGACGCGACGCGCUGGUACAGAUCUCAAAGCAAGGCUUGUUGGACAAAUAAAUGAAGAUGAGCCCAAGAGCCCAGGAGAGGGACCGGGAACAGCAGGGCCUCCGUGACUCACACAAGCUUCAUCCCUGAACCAAGGACGCAGCCUGCCAACAAUGGCCCCAAGCCACACCCCGCCACAGGGGGAACUGAUGCUGCGGUGAGAAGUGACAGCUUUCUGUUGACUCUUUUUUUUUUCAAGCAGAAUAUGAAUUGAGACAUACUUUCAUUUUCAUAAUCAGAACCUAACACUUAGUAACCAAUGUUGGUGGAAGCAAAUGAGAUCACAGUUUGUCUGUUCCAAACUCAUCUCUGGGAAAAGGAGGAGGAAAAAUUAUUGGCACUAUGUUCAGAAUCAUAGCUGAAGAUGCAGAAAUUGUUCAUCCCAAUUUUGCCUUUGUAAGUAAUGUGGGGGCAGUUCUUAUUAGUAAUUGCCAAUCUCUACUGAGACACAGUAUUUUGCUAGGCGCUUUAUAUUCAUUUCCUGGUAUGAUCAUGACAUUAACCCUGUGAAAUGCGUACCCUUACUAUCUCCAUGUGAAGAAAUGAGGGAACUGAGGACCAGAGAGGUGAACUGACUUGUCCAAAGACACACAGUAAGGGCUGUGACUCUCCGCUUUCUAAGAUUUUUGUUCUUAUCGCUCCACAGCACAUAGCAGGCGUAGUAUGAAGGCAGCAUGCUGCACAAUUUCGCUGUUUGUUUCUUGGAAUAAUAAUUUAUAGGGGACUGCUUCUAGAUUCCAAAGGAAAGAGAAAGGAAAUAUGCCCCAAACUCAGGCUUUCAGCCUGGCCCUGCCUGACUCACUGAGCUGCAUUGGACAAAUGAUUCAUUCACUGGCCUUGACCUCAGUGGGUUUGGCCACCCAUUGAGAGUGAAGUCACACCUCCAGCACUGCGAUGCAUUUAUUGAUCCACUCACCUAGCUUCAUGGCAGGCAAGAAACAGGCCUGUGUGAGCCUGCCCAGGAUCAGGGACAGGAGAGCACACAGGUGUUUCUGGAUAUCCUCAAGCUGUAGCUGGGCUGCUCGAUUCUUCCCUAGGAGAUCCUCCGGGGGCCUGAAUUAGUUUGCUAGGGCUUCCGUAACAAAGCGCCACAGACUGAGCGGCUUAAAUAAAAAUGUGUCAUCUCAUGGUUCUGGAGGCUGGAAGUCUGAGAUCAAGGUGCUGGGGAUUAGGACUUGAACAUAUGUUUUUUGGGGGCACACUUCAACCCUCCGGAGGGCCUGUGCCCCAAAGAGAGCCUCCUUCUGUGUGCAGUGAAGGUGUGAGUUCUAAACAUGAGAAAAAAACACCCCUUGUUCUUGGAUAGGGUGACUCGAUACCACAAGCAGGUCCAACUGGCCCAGGUAAAUAUAUUCGUUUAACAUGAUCGUCACCAAAAUAUUGAGGGUAGGUGUUUUUUUCUGGAGUUAAACAAGUUGAUUCUGGAGUUGAUAUGAAAUAAUAAACAAGCAAAAAUAG
rnacentral:lncRNA from 1 species